rnacentral:misc_RNA from 1 species
GACGGAGGGCGCAAGCGUUGUUCGGAAUCACUGGGCGUAAAGCGCUCGCAGGCGGGUGCGGAAGUCGGGGGUGAAAGGUCGGGGCUCAACCCCGGAUCGUUCUCUCGAUACUCCGUGCCUAGGGACCGGUAGAGGCCAGUAGAAUUCCCGGAGUAGCGGUGGAAUGCGUAGAGAUCGGGAAGAACACCAGAGGCGAAGGCGACUGGCUGGGCCGGAUCCGACGCUCAGGCACGAAGGCGUGGGGAGCGAACAGG